AAAGGUUUUUAAAAAAGAAGCUGCUAACUAUCUUUUAAAGCAUUUUAAUGUUUAACCUUUU
rnacentral:tRNA from 1 species